CUUGCAAUCGGCCUCCCGCGGCAUCCGGUGCCCGGUUUGGCGUGAUCUCUCGCGCGAUCACCCGAACAGCCUCCAAUUCACAAUCCGAAAAUUAAAGGUCUUCGGUUAUGUGCCACGAUGCUUCAAAUCCGUUUUCAUGAGUAUACGACGUCGCCUCGGCCCUCCAGGCGAAAAUGAAGCCUAAACGUCCGUUUCUUUAAUAACUUUGUAACGGCUCGUCGGAUUGCCGAACCGUCUUCGCCAACGCGUUUCGUUACCUAGCAAUUAGGUUUACGGAGGGUCAAAUUAGAUCAAACCCUCAUAUUUUAAAAAUUAGCAUUUUGAACCCUAGGUUUACAACUAGAUAAAAAUCCACCAAAUUUCUUCGUGAAUCAAGCAUCAUUCAUCUAGUUAGCGUGCUAGGAUUCCUCUAAAUCCAUUUGUAAGGUAUUUAGACCAACCAUUAAGGAUCUACCAUUAAAGGGGUUUGAAGCUUACCUCUCAAGCAAGCUCCAAUGGAGAGGAAGAACAUGAAGGAGAUGAAGAUCCAUUUCCAAGCUUGCUUCUCCACCAAUUUCAUCAAUUUUGGGAGAGAAUUAGAGAGAGAAAAGGGAGGUUUUGUCUCUCCCAUUCCAUGUAUGCGUGUGUGUGCGUGAUGCGUGUGUGUGUGUGUUGCAUUCGGCUGAGGAGGAAGGAGGAGAAAAGGGAUUUAAUCCCAUUUUGCAAGUUAGCCCCUCAACUAUUCAACCUUCCAAUUUAGUCNUUUUUCUUCGACAUGAGGGCGACCUAGUCGCUUCGGUAAGCACAACCCACCUGUUAGUGCAUUCCGAUUUCUUGUCGACACUUGCAAUCGGCCUCCCGCGGCAUCCGGUGCCCGGUUUGGCGUGAUCUCUCGCGCGAUCACCCGAACAGCCUCCAAUUCACAAUCCGAAAAUUAAAGGUCUUCGGUUAUGUGCCACGAUGCUUCAAAUCCGUUUUCAUGAGUAUACGACGUCGCCUCGGCCCUCCAGGCGAAAAUGAAGCCUAAACGUCCGUUUCUUUAAUAACUUUGUAACGGCUCGUCGGAUUGCCGAACCGUCUUCGCCAACGCGUUUCGUUACCUAGCAAUUAGGUUUACGGAGGGUCAAAUUAGAUCAAACCCUCAUAUUUUCAAAAUUAACAUUUUUGAGCCCUAACAUGAAAUAACCUCCAAAUAAUCCAAAUUAAAUGGAGCAAUAUGCUAAUAAUGAUCAUUAGAGACUACUAGAACUCUUAAAGCUAAGGAUUAAGCCAAAUCCCAAAAGCUUACCCCAAUGUGAACGCCGCAACGAAAACACGCCGCUCCAACGGGCGCACGAAAGCUCGAUCCGUCGCCUCCAACGCGUUCGCAAGCUCGAUCUCCACCAACCCUCCAAUUUUUAGAGAGAGAUAUAGAGAGAUGAGAGAGAUAUUUAGAGAGAGAAAGGAGGGUUUCUCUCCCCCUUCCAUGCGUGCGUGUGUGUGUCCAUGGUGGCGGUGGUCGGUUGAAGGAGAAGAAGCUGAUGCUUCUAAUUAAAGUCAACACCAACAUUAUUCACUCCAAGCAACUUAAAAUCUGAUAUCUUUCACCGGAGCUCCCUGAAUGUCCGUUUGAGCUCAAACUUGACAGUCAUGUUCGGUUUUACGUACUGAGUAAGAAUAUAUUUUAAGUUUUCAGUUUCGACCCCGUUUGGUUACCGAAAACUGUACCGAACUGUAAUCUUUAUCAGAUAACUGUCGGAUUUUAUUUCUCACUCUACGGGCGUCAGAAAAAUAUGAAACUUUAAAUCUAGCCUCAUUAAAAUAUUACUGACAUCCCCGCCAAUUUUCAUAAUUUUCUGAGACUGUGCAUUUUCUACUAAUUUAUCUGUCCCGUUUCUCACAGAAAAUUUUAAAUUUUUUAUUUUCGCUCCGAUUUCAGCACAAAUCAUUUCUGAUUUAUGUUUUACUCCUCUAAAUCCAAUAAAAAUAGUAUCUCACACUAUUUUUAUUUAUUUUUUAUUUUUAUAUUUAAAAUCCGGUAUGUUACAUUACACCGUAAC
rnacentral:lncRNA from 1 species